UUGGACAAUUAUACCUGUCUUCACUUCAAUGAUGGAUGCCCGGAUUCACAUUAUUAUACAGAUCAUUUUUACAAAUAUCCCAGUUGUUUUCAGAUUGACCCAAACUCAAAAUGCUUCUUAUCCGAUUUAUUGUGCAUCAAAAAGAAUCGCAUUACUACAGUGUUAUAUGAGGAUUUAACGAACCGAAAUCCGACGACAGAUACACAGACU